rnacentral:sRNA from 1 species
UCCCAGAAGGCUGGCAUCAUUUCCACGC